AGAAAAUGGCGAGUCAGUGUAAGAGGCAGCAAUGCAGCAUCGACAGGCGAGGCUAUCGGCAGGAACUUGACUCGUGGCGACACAAACUCAUUCACUGUGCUUUGAGAGUAUUCUUGAAGGUCUGUUUGAUCCAGAGCUGGUAGAAGACCUAAAAUUAUUUAAGGACCUUGAGCCUACAGCAGUGUCUGACUGGUCA